rnacentral:misc_RNA from 1 species
ACGUCCCUCUCGCAGGGUUCCAACAACGCCCUGCCGUCCAUGUGAGCAAAAUGGCGACGCAGGCGGCCGCUGCGCUCCUCGAUGAGCUCAUGGGAAGGGCGAGAAAUGUGCUUCCCGAGGAGAGAAAUCAAAAUGUGCACUGGGAUUCACCCGAGGUGUGUCGUCACUACCUGGUGAAGUUUUGUCCACAUGACCUCUUUACAAAUACAAAAUCUGAUCUUGGACCAUGUGACAAGCCUGUCCAUGAUGAGGAAUUAAAAAGGGAAUUUGAAGCUGCCAAUUCCUAUCGCCGCACUGCCUUUGAAGAUGAAUUUGUUAGAUAUGCAGAGUCCAUGCUUACAGAAGUAGACAAAAGAAUAAGAAAAGGAAAACAGCGGUUAUCAUUGUCAGUUAAAGAUGCCUUGGCCAGUAGCACAACAGGUGACGGGCGAGUAGAUGAGCAGCUGGAACUCCUCUCCGAAAGAAUUACAGGUUUAGUAAGUGAAGCCGAAAGACUAGGUUCAGAAGGAAAUGUUGAAGAGGCCCAAGGUCUCCUUAAACUUUGUGAUCAACUACGAGAAGAGAGAGACUCGCUACGCAGAAGUAAUGAAAAUUCUGUAUGGCAUCAGGCUGCGGAGAUGGCGGCAUCACAAGAAAAGCAGAUGGAGGUGUGUGAAGUAUGUGGUGCUUUCCUGAUUGUGGGUGAUGCGCAACAACGAAUUGAUGACCACUUAACAGGAAAGCAGCAUGUGGGUUUUGCAAAGCUACGUCAGGCCAUUCAGGAAAUUAGAGAUAGUCGUGAAAAGGCAAGAGCAGAGAGAGAAAGUCAGAGAGAAAAGGAGAGAGAAGAAAGACGCAAAGCCUUACAAGAAGAAGAAAAGCGUAGAGAGAAAGAAAGAGAAGAGAGGAGGAGAAAAGAUGAAGACCGCAGACGUAGAAGUAGUGACAGAGAUCGAGAUCGUGAGCGUGCAGAGAGAAGUAGAGACAGAGACCGUGACAGAAUGAGGGACAGAGAUUAUCGUGACAGGAGACGAUCACGCAGCCGAGACCGCGAGAGGAGACGGUCUCGCAGCAGAGACAGGGAUUAUAGAAGUUCACAUUCAAAAGACAGAGAUAGGAGAGAGAAAGACCGAGACAGGCAUCACCGUUCGCGAAGUCGCGAGCAUGACAGAAGGAGACACAGGGAAGAAAAUGGCGAUCUGUACCACCGUGAAUACUGAUGAGUGACAGGGCAAUUGUGAAGGAGGAGCCAAGAGGGAGAUGUGGAGAAUAGAGUCCGAUGAGCGGGAAAUGAAGGCUUAACCAGUGAGUGAUCUCCACUUGAGGGUAACAUCUGGCAAGAGAAAAGAAGACCUUUUCAAUCUACUACAGCAGUUGAGAGCGUCAGCACUUCAGUCGAGCCACAGACGAUGCAUGUUGAGAGAUGCAGAAGUACUGAAGGACACUGCAGCCUCCACUUUGUGUUAGCCAGGUGACCCCCCUCAUUUCACACUCCCUUCUCUGCCUCCCCCACUUGGCCUCUUCCCAGCCCUACCCAGUAUGACAUCCCAAAAGGGCAUUCAAUGGUUCCACAGACUGACUUCACAAGAUUUUUUUUUUUUUUUUUUAUACAUUUUUAAUUUACUUUUUUUUUAUUAUUAUUAUAUUAUUAUUAUUUUUUUUUUUUCCCUCUACCUUUUAAAAAUUUUCUAUCGUUACUUUUUUUCCCCCUUAUAGGUUUCACUGUAUAGGUAUUAGGUAGAACAAUGUUCUGUAUUAAACUUUGUUUGACUGUAAAAUAUCUCUGUAUAUAGUUUGGAUACUGUCAACACGACAUGUACUUUUGAAGUGUAAUGUAAGGGUGUUAAAACAUCACUUGUAUGCAUCUUAGUUUAGGUGUGAUAACAACCUCUUCAAACAGAGUUGUGAUGCUGUUUAAGGAAGUUCGUUGGUUGUCCGGUCACAUUCCAUCAAGUAUCUCAUCUCUCCACUCUAUUAAGGUGAGAUAUUGUGAAUUGUGUCAAUAAAUGUGUAAAACUUA